AUCAACUUUCGAUGGUAGGAUAGAGGCCUACCAUGGUGGUAACGGGUAACGGGGUGUUAGGGCACGACACCGGAGAGGGAGCCUGAGAAACGGCUACCACAUCCAAGGAAGGCUGCAGGCGCGCAAAUUACCCAAUCCCGACACGGGGAGGUAGUGACAAUAAAUAACAAUACAGGGUUCUUUAGGAUCUUGUAAUUGGAAUGAGUACAAUUUAAAUCUCUUAACGAGGAACAAUUGGAGGGCAAGUCUGGUGCCAGCAGCCGCGGUAAUUCCAGCUCCAAUAGCGUAUAUUAAAGUUGUUGCAGUUAAAAAGCUCGUAGUUGAAUUUCGGGGUUAGUAGGUUGGUCAUGCCUCUGGUAUGUACUGGUCUCACUGAUUCCUCCUUCCUGAUGAACCGUAAUGCCAUUAAUUUGGUGUUGCGGGGAAUUUGGACUGUUACUUUGAAAAAAUUAGAGUGUUUAAAGCAAGCUAACGCUUGAAUACAUUAGCAUGGAAUAAUGAAAUAGGACGUUCGAUCCUAUUUUGUUGGUUUCUAGGAUUGACGUAAUGAUUAACAGGGAUAGUUGGGGGCAUUAGCAUUCAAUUGUCAGAGGUGAAAUUCUUGGAUUUAUUGAAGACUAACUACUGCGAAAGCAUUUGCCAAGGAUGUUUUCAUUAAUCAAGAACGAAAGUUAGGGGAUCGAAGACGAUCAGAUACCGUCGUAGUCUUAACCAUAAACUAUGCCGACUAGGGAUCGGAUGAUGUUAAUUUUUUAAUGACUCAUUCGGCGCUUUACGGGAAACCAAAGUGUUUGGGUUC
rnacentral:rRNA from 1 species